rnacentral:rRNA from 1 species
AUUGAACGCUGGCGGCAUGCCUUACACAUGCAAGUCGAACGGCAGCACGGGUGCUUGCACCUGGUGGCGAGUGGCGAACGGGUGAGUAAUACAUCGGAACGUACCUUAUCGUGGGGGAUAACGCAGCGAAAGCUGUGCUAAUACCGCAUACGCCCUGAGGGGGAAAGCGGGGGAUCGCAAGACCUCGCGCGAUUAGAGCGGCCGAUGCCUGAUUAGCUAGUUGGUGGGGUAAAAGCCCACCAAGGCGACGAUCAGUAGCUGGUCUGAGAGGACGAUCAGCCACACUGGGACUGAGACACGGCCCAGACUCCUACGGGAGGCAGCAGUGGGGAAUUUUGGACAAUGGGGGCAACCCUGAUCCAGCAAUGCCGCGUGAGUGAAGAAGGCCUUCGGGUUGUAAAGCUCUUUUGUCAGGGAAGAAACACCGGCUCUAACACAGUCCGGGAAUGACGGUACCUGAAGAAUAAGCCACGGCUAACUACGUGCCAGCCGCCGCAGUAA